rnacentral:rRNA from 1 species
GAGUACCACGGGGCACGAGGAACCUUGUGGGAAGCAGGGGGGACCACCCUCCAAGGCGAAAUACUGAUAUGGACCGAUAGCGCAUAGUACCGUGAGGGAAAGGUGAAAAGAACCCCGGGAGGGGAAUGAAAGAGAACCUGAAACCGUAUGUCUACAAGCAGUCGAAGCACCGUAUGCGUGCGACGGCGUGCCUAUUGAAGAAUGAACCGGCGAGUUAUUUCAUCCGGCGAGGUUAAGCGGAAAACGCGGAGCCGAAGCGAAAGCGAGUCUGAACAGGGCGACAAGUCGGAUGGAAUAGACCCGAAACCACAGUGAUCUAUCCAUGCCCAGGUUGAAGCACAGGUAAAAAUGUGUGGAGGACCGAACCAGUGAGCGUUGAAAAGCUUUUGGAUGAGGUGUGGAUAGGGGUGAAAUGCCAAUCGAACGUGGAGAUAGCUGGUUCUCCCCGAAAUAGCUUUAGGGCUAGCCUCAUGGCAAGAGUGCAGGCGGUAGAGCACUGAACAGGGUAGGGGCCUAUCCGGCUACCGAACCUAAUCAAACUACGAAUGGCUGUACUUAUCCAUGGGAGUCAGACUGCGAGUGAUAAGACCCGUAGUCAAGAGGGAAACAGCCCAGACCAACAGCUAAGGUCCCCAAUGCCGUACUAAGUGGUAAAGGAUGUGGAGUUUCGAAAACAACCAGGAUGUUGGCUUAGAAGCAGCCACCAUUAAAAGAGUGCGUAAUAGCUCACUGGUCGAGAGACUCUGCGCCGAAGAUGACCGGGGCUAAAGUACGGAACCGAAGCUUUGGCAUGUAUGUAAAUACAUGGGUAGGGGAGCGUUCCUGCAUGGGCGAAGCCUGACCGGAAGGACAGGUGGACAGGCAGGAAGUGAGAAUGCCGGUAUGAGUAGCGAAAAGAAAGGUGAGAAUCCUUUCCACCGAAAGCCUAAGGGUUCCUGGGCAACGAUCGUCGACCCAGGGUAAGUCGGGACCUAAUCCGAGGCGAAGACGCAUAGGAGAUGGACAACAGGUUGAAAUUCCUGUACCGACGUCGUCUGUUUGAGCGAUGGAGUGACACAAGAAGGAAAGUUCGCAUGCGAUUGGAAGAGCAUGUCUAAGCAGGUAGGUUGAAUACCAGGCAAAUCCGGUAUUCUAAAAGCCGAGAAGUGAUAGGGAGCCUGUAGAAAUACAGGUGAAGGAACCGGGACUCGAUUGUCAAGAAAAGCUUCUAGUGAGGACGACGCCGCCCGUACCAAAACCGACACAGGUAGGCAAGAAGAGAAUUCUAAGGUGCGCGGGAAAACCCUCGUUAAGGAACUCGGCAAAAUGUAUCCGUAACUUCGGGAAAAGGAUAACCCAGAGUACGUGAAGGAAAGAAACAUCCGGAGCGGGAAUGGGUGGCACAAGAGAGGCCCAAGCGACUGUUUACCACAAACACAGGCGUCUGCUAAAGAGAAAUCUGAUGUAUAGAUGCUGACACCUGCCCGGUGCUGGAAGGUUAAGAGGACGUGUUAGCCGUAAGGCGAAGCAGAGAAUUGAAGCCCCAGUAAACGGCGGCCGUAACUAUAACGGUCCUAAGGUAGCGAAAUUCCUUGUCGGGUAAGUUCCGACCCGCACGAAAGGUGUAACGACUUGCGCACUGUCUCAACGAGGGACCCGGUGAAAUUGAAGUACCUGUGAAGAUGCAGGUUACCCGCGACUGGACAGAAAGACCCCAUGGAGCUUUACUGUAACCUGAGAUUGAAUUUUGGUAGAAGAUGUACAGGAUAGUUGGGAGACGUAGAAGCGCGCACGCCAGUGUACGCAGAGUCGAUGGUGGGAUACCAACCUUGUUUUAUUGAAAUUCUAACGAGAGCCGUAACGAGGCUGCGGACAGUCUCAGGCGGGCAGUUUGACUGGGGCGGUCGCCUCCGAAAGAGCAACGGAGGCGCCCAAAGGUUCCCUCAGCGCGGACGGAAACCGCGCGAAGAGUGUAAAGGCAGAAGGGAGCUUGACUGCGAGACGGACAGGUCGAGCAGGGACGAAAGUCGGGCUUAGUGAUCCGGUGGUAGAGAGUGGAAUUGCCAUCGCUCAACGGAUAAAAGCUACCCUGGGGAUAACAGGCUUAUCUCUCCCAAGAGUCCAUAUCGACGGGGAGGUUUGGCACCUCGAUGUCGGCUCA